GGGGUUGUAGCUCAAUGGUAGAGUGCCUGUCUCGAAAAAGUGAAGCACUGGGCUCAAUUCUCAGCACCCCA
rnacentral:tRNA from 1 species